rnacentral:misc_RNA from 1 species
CCAUUACUCAAUGCUAGUCUGAUGAGAGAUUACUAGACCUGAUCCAUUUGGGGAUUUGGGUGCUUCUCUUCUCUCGUGCCAUGGAAAAUUUUACGAGUGCCGGGAGCAUGACAGCGUUGAUGUUCAUGUUUCAGGGACAUACACCCAACUGCCACGUAGACCCCCUCUCUCUACUUAAAUAUAAUCGCGUUUCUUUUCAAGUUGGUUCAUGCUUCAAUUCAACCAUGAGGCUUGUGUACCAGGGAGGUUCCUCAGCUGAGAUGUGAGAACAUUUUCCAGUUCAUACACUGUAUAAAGUUACUCAAUUUCUUCAUAUGCUGUCCAAGAUUCUUUGCUUAGUCUGCUCAACUAUCCAGCGUAUUAGUUUCUAUCUUUUCCAAUAUUUUAGCCCAAAAAAUUUGGGUCUUUUUGGAUCAAUCCCAGUUUUCUUAUUCCUUAUUUAGUUUAAUUUGUUUUGCAGGAAAAAGAAUUUUGCUUUAAUCGACUUCUCUCCUAAUGGGUUAUUUCUUCUCCGUCUCUCUCUGAUGUGGUUCAGUCCAAAGUUGCCCUUGAUCAACUAUUAGCUUGAUACUCAUUGACCAAGUUCCUGAAUCAUGAUUUACAAUUCAUGUUCUUGCGUUUCAGAGAGAAUUUGAUUGAGUUCCUUUAAUGGGUAUCUUGGUCUCUAUAUCUGAGAACAGAAGAUACAUAAUUUUCUUUAAUAUCUCAUUUCUGUUAGUGGCAUGCGUUUUCUUGAUUUUACAGUUCAACCCUGCUCGAUUUCUUGUUCCUAACAGUGCACAACCGUCUAAUGACGAUAGUCAACAGGACUGCAAAGGGUUGGAAAGUCUAGAAGACUACCGAGCCAAGUGCCAUUACCUUAAAUCACAUAUUAAUCCUUGUGUCUCUGAAGGUUAUAUUGACUAUCUCCACCUUUUCUAUUGCAAUUUUGGAAGAAUUCCUCUUUUGGGCCAUUGUCUUCUAUUUCUCUGGCUUCUAGUGUUGUUCUAUUUGUUAGGGAACACAGCCUCUGAAUACUUUUGUUCUUCCCUUGAAAAUUUAUCCACUCUAUUGAAACUAUCCCCUACAAUUGCUGGGGUUACUCUCCUUUCUCUUGGCAACGGUGCCCCAGAUGUAUUUUCCAGUCUGGUAUCCUUUAUGGGUAGUGGGACAGGUGAUAUUGGCUUCAAUACAGUGCUAGGUGGUGCUUCCUUUGUUACCUGUGUUGUGGUUGGAAUCAUGAGCAUUCUGGUGAAGCAAAAGAAGAUCAGGGUUAACAAAGUUGCUUUUGUUAGAGAUGUUUGCUUCUUGCUUUUGGUUCUUGCAUCCUUAAGUUUCAUAUUGGUUCACGGAGAAAUCAAUAUUUGGGGUGCAAUGGGAUUUUUGUCCAUGUAUAUUUUCUAUGUGGUUGUUGUUUACUCCUCAGACACCCACUGGCGUAAAGGAAAGGAAGAUGAUAGUUCAAGUUACUGCAGUGACUUGAGCAUACCCAUUUUAAGCGGCAUGGGAAAAGAGGAGGUAAAUUUUGUGGAGGAAGGUGCUUUAGAAGGUGUUGCUGAGGUAGAAAUCAAUAAGUGUUGCUUUUGUUUAAGAUUACCUGCUCCUUGCCUUAUGCUUAUUAGCAUACUUGAGAUGCCCCUUUACUUGCCUAGGAGAUUGACAAUUCCUGUUAUUUGUGAAAAGAGAUGGUCUAAGCCAAUUGCUGUUGCUUCAGUGACACUGGCUCCAGUUCUGUUAUCAGUUCUUUGGAAUCCCCAGGAAGAUGAUGCCGGUUUUGUGAAUAGCCUAGUGGUAUAUGGAAUUGGGCUCUUAUUUGGAAUAAUAUGUGGGGUUAUUGCAUAUGCUAGAACUGAGAAUUCAAGCCCUCCAAAGAAGUGCCUAUUUCCUUGGCUUGCAGGAGGGUUCUUAAUGAGUGUGAUCUGGAGUUAUAUCAUAGCUCAGGAAUUGGUAGCCCUAUUAGUUUCCCUUGGAUAUAUAUUUGAAGUAAGUCCUUCAAUUCUUGGGCUAACAGUUCUUGCCUGGGGCAAUUCAGUAGGGGAUCUGAUAGCCAAUUUGACCAUGGCCUUGAAUGGCAGUCCUGAAGGUGCACAAGUAGCUAUAUCAGGGUGUUAUGCAGGUCCCAUUUUCAACAUCCUUUUUGGUUUGGGUUUGUCUCUUGUUGGCUCAUCCUGGCAUCAAUAUCCAUCUUCUGUUGUGAUCCCAAGAGAUUUAUAUCUGUUGGAGACAUUAUGCUUUCUGGUGGCAAGCUUGCUCUGGUCUCUUGUUAUCUUGCCAUGUAGAAACAUGAAGCUUGAUAGGGUCUUGGGGGCAGGGCUUCUGGCUAUAUACACAAUUUCUAUGUCUGUGAGGCUGAUUCAAAUACUUGGGUCUUUCCAAUUUCAAGUUACAUAUACCUAGCCCUGGCAACUUUUCUUGGAAACCAUGUAAUUCCACCUACUAACCACUUUCUUUGUACAGUCAGUGAUCAUCAAUUGCAAUAUCAGUACAUCCUUUUCUUUUAUAAUUUGAUUCGAGGCAAUAAACAUAUUUGCUAUUUGCUUCCAAUAUUUUUUCUUCAAG